rnacentral:rRNA from 1 species
UACGUAGGGGGGCAAGCGUUGUCCGGAAUCAUUGGGCGUAAAGCGCGUGUAGGCGGCCUUGUAAGUCCGUUCUGAAAGCCCGGGGCUCAACCCCGGGAGGCGGAUGGAUACUGCAGGGCUCGAGUACGGAAGAGGCGAGUGGAAUUCCCGGUGUAGCGGUGAAAUGCGCAGAUAUCGGGAGGAACACCAAUGGCGAAGGCAGCUCGCUGGGACGUUACUGACGCUGAGACGCGAAAGCGUGGGGAGCAAACAGG